GACAGAUCACACCCCGGCCCGCAGACAGAUCACUGCACAGGCACCCCAGCCCACCAACAGAUCACACCACAGAGCGCCGACAGAUCACACCCCGGCCCACGGACAGAUCACACCCCGGCCCACGGACAGAUCACACCCCGGCCCGCCGACAGAUCACACCCCGGCCCGCCGACAGAUCACACCCAGGCCCACCAACGGAUCACACCCCGGCCCGCCGACGGAUCACCACACAGGCACCCCAGCCCGCCCACAGAUCACACCCCAGCCCCCCGACAGAUCACCACACAGGCACCCCAGCCCCCCAACAGAUCACUGCGCAGGCACCCCAGCCCCCACACAGAUCACACCCCAGCCCACUGACAGAUCACACCCCAGCCCACUGACAGAUCACACCCCAGCCCGCCGACAGAUCUCCGUACAGGCACCCCAGCCCGCCAACAGAUCACACCCCAGCCCGUCGACAGAUCACACCCCAGCCCGCCGACAGAUCACCGUACAGGCACCCCAGCCCAACAGAUCACACCCCAGCCCGCCGACAGAUCACACCCCAGCCCGCCGACAGAUCACCGCACAGGCACCCCAGCCCCCACACAGAUCACACCCCAGCCCGCCCACAGAUCACACCCCCGCCCGCUGACAGAGCAGCUGGGGCUUGCUGUGCGUCGCCAUUGCCAUGCUUGACAAGUCGUGGAGUGCCGGCUCCUGACCUGGGUCCUGUUACAGUUGCUGUCAUGCAAGCAUAGUUCCUUGUGCUGUGCUUAACUUGCUUCAUGGAAACCCACUCUCGAGAAUAUGCCUGUACAUAUGAGGAAAACAGAAAUCUGAAAAGAUAACAUGUCUGGGUACUAGGAUUAAG
rnacentral:lncRNA from 1 species